CUUCCUCUCCUCCUCUGGCAUCUCGCCGGUGGUAUGAGGGAGGUGGGUCAGCCCCCUUCUCCUAGUGUAUAUUACUGUAUAUUAUAUGUGGUUUGUUGUGCCCAGAUGGAUGCUCAACAGCCGCGCCGCCGCUCCCCUGCUGCUGUGGCCAUUGCAGGUGCCACCGGCGUCCUCGUCGCCUUCUCCGUUGCUUUGGUUUGCUGUGAUGGCUGCAGGGCGAGCCCGAAUAAAGGUCCCUUUGGACGUCAGUGCCUCUGGUGGCUUUCGCCAGCGAGCUUUGUGGCGGUGAUGACGGUGUUUUGCAGGUGCAGCUUGCCAUGGAUUCAUCCGGGUUCUUGCUUCUGCGAUGUGUGGAGGUGUUCACGUGUGUCUUGCCUUUGAUAUGGUUUGUAAUUGGCUUCUCUUUGGGGAUCUUUCUAUAAGACUGUUCUUCUAUAAUAUACGUUAUAAGUUUGCUUUUUUAAAAAAAUAGCAUAGUGUAGUCAGUUCACAUCUCGAUCAACUUUUUCUCAGUGUCUGAUGAGGUUGCGGCUGGAUACAUCUAAUAUCUAACGGUUAUACUUC